UACGAAGGGGGCGAGCGUUGUUCGGAUUUACUGGGCGUAAAGGGCGCGUAGGCGGCCCUCCUAGUCGCGUGUGAAAGCCCCGGGCUCAACCUGGGAAUUGCGCGCGAAACGGGGGGGCUUGAGUUCGGGAGAGGAGCGUGGAAUUCCCAGUGUAGAGGUGAAAUUCGUAGAUAUUGGGAAGAACACCGGUGGCGAAGGCGGCGC
rnacentral:rRNA from 1 species